rnacentral:rRNA from 1 species
UGGGGAAUAUUGCACAAUGGGGGGAACCCUGAUGCAGCAAUGCCGCGUGGGUGAAGAAGUACCCCGGUAUGUAAAGCCCUGUCAGCAGGGAAGAAAAUGACGGUACCUGACUAAGAAGCCCCGGCUAACUACGUGCCAGCAGCCGCGGUAAUACGUAGGGGGCGAGCGUUAUCCGGAUUUACUGGGUGUAAAGGGAGCGCAGGCGGCGUGGCAAGUCAGAUGUGAAAACCCGGGGCCCAACCCCGGGACUGCAUUUGAAACUGCCAUGCUGGAGUGCCGGAGAGGCAAGUGGAAUUCCUAGUG